rnacentral:sRNA from 1 species
AGAUAUUGAGAUUUUUGGUUCUGUUUUCAGAGGCAGAAGAAAAUUCGUGAAGAUCAUAAAUCCUACUAUGCGAUUAACACUGUUUAUGUAUAUGGACAAGAGAAAUACUUGUUGUUGCAUGAUAUCUCAGAAUCGGAAUUUCUAACUGAAGCUGAGAUCAUUUGUGAUGUUGUGUGCCUGGUAUAUGAUGUCAGCAAUCCCAAAUCCUUUGAAUACUGUGCCAGGAUUUUUAAGGUUUGUUGCUCCUACAGACUAUGACUGAAUGUAACUUCAUAUGGACUUUUUAUGGAAUUGCAGUGUGGUGUUUCCUAACCACAAAAAUGCAACAAAAUCAUAUGUAUUUUAAAAAUGCAUACAUCUUUACCCUAUUCCUGAAGGUUCUGGUUUUGCUCUAAAGUGGCAGAGUCUCAGACAUACAUAUUUCUGAAAGUUUUCUACAUGUGAUUCUGAGGUGCAUUCCUGACUGAGAACUUUUACAUUAAUGCAAGGUCUUCCUGGCUGUUAAAGUUACAUAUGUCUGCCUUCUCUCUGAUGAAAAAAAGGAGUAGUACAUAUGGAUUAUAUAUUGCCAAAUAUACCAAGAAUAAAUAACAGCCAGAGGAAAGGGAUAAAUCUGAAGCUUAGAAAGUCUAUCAGUCACUUAGGGAUUAUCAAUAAGAUUCAAUAGGAGUAAAAAGCUAUAUGUACAAAGGUGUUUAUUCUAGCAUUGUUUUUAAUAGAAAAAAACUGGAAAUAAUCAAGAUGGCUAA